GACGAAGAACGUAGCGAAAUGCGAUAAGUAAUGUGAAUUGCAGAAUUCAGUGAAUCAUCGAAUCUUUGAACGCACCUUGCACCCUUUGGCAUUCCGAAGGGUAUGCUCGUUUGAGUGUCAUUGUACUCUCACUCUCCCGAUGCUUUUGGAUCGGGAGUGGUGGACUUGGGUGUUGCUGCUUUGCUGUGGCUCGCCUCAAAUGGAGUAGUGCAACUCUUGGUUGGACAUAGUACGGCGUGAUAAGUGUCUUCGCCGGCGCCUCAUUAUAGAGGGUGGCCGAUCGGGAGCUCUGUGCUUCAAACCGUCUUCGGACAACAUCUGACAACUUGACCUCAAAUCGAGUAGGACUACCCGCUGAACUUAAGCAUAUCAAUAAGCGGAGGA
rnacentral:misc_RNA from 1 species